rnacentral:rRNA from 1 species
CCUACGGGAGGCAGCAGUGGGGAAUAUUGGGCAAUGGGCGCAAGCCUGACCCAGCAACGCCGCGUGAAGGAAGAAGGCUUUCGGGUUGUAAACUUCUUUUCUCAGGGACGAAGCAAGUGACGGUACCUGAUGAAUAAGCCACGGCUAACUACGUGCCAGCAGCCGCGGUAAUACGUAGGUGGCAAGCGUUAUCCGGAUUUACUGGGUGUAAGGGGCGUGUAGGCUGGGACGCAAGUCAGAUGUGAAAACCACGGGCUCAACCUGUGGCCUGCAUUUGAAACUGUGUUUCUUGAGUACUGGGGAGGCAGACGGAAUUCCUAGUGUAGCGGUGAAAUGCGUAGAUAUUAGGAGGAACACCAGUGGCGAAGGCGGUCUGCUGGACAGCAACUGACGCUGAGGCGCGAAAGCGUGGGGAGCAAACAGGAUUAGAUACCCGAGUAGUC